rnacentral:rRNA from 1 species
CAGCCGCCGCGGUAAUACGUAGGUGGCAAGCGUUGUCCGGAAUUAUUGGGCGUAAAGGGCUCGCAGGCGGUUUCUUAAGUCUGAUGUGAAAGCCCCCGGCUCAACCGGGGAGGGUCAUUGGAAACUGGGAAACUUGAGUGCAGAAGAGGAGAGUGGAAUUCCACGUGUAGCGGUGAAAUGCGUAGAGAUGUGGAGGAACACCAGUGGCGAAGGCGACUCUCUGGUCUGUAACUGACGCUGGGGAGCGAAAGCGUGGGGAGCGAACAGGAUUAGAUACCCGCGUAGUCCCUGUCUCUUAUAC